rnacentral:lncRNA from 7 species
CUAAACUAUGUUAUCAUCAUGAGCGAGAGCGGAGGCAAAGAACCGUUGCUCGCCGUCGCAAGCCGACCAGCGACUUGUCGUUGCGCGACCUUGAGCGCAUAGCUAGGAAGCAUCUCAGGGGGUACCUAAAGUUGGUCAUAGUCGUUGGGGCUCGUGGGAGUACCGAGGAGACCAGGAAUCCUUCACCAGAGUAAGGCGGGCUCGGCCUACCACGCCAUGUCGUGGACAAGCGACCUCACAACUUCAGUGUCGGUAA